GUGCGAGACCGAUAGCGAACAAGUACCGUGAGGGAAAGAUGAAAAGAACUUUGAAAAGAGAGUUAAAGAGUACCUGAAACUGUUGAAAUGGAAUUGGAUCGUUUCCAGUGUCUAUAUCCUUUGCAUAUUUCAUUGGCGGAUGUUGGUGUGUAGUUUACUGUGCUAGUAGUUUAUUCUGCAGUCAGUGUUUUACGCUGCUAGUGUUUGCUGAUGCCCUGUGCAUUGGUGUGACGUCAGAGUCAGUUUGUAUGUUGCGGGAGAUGGCCAUUGAGGAGGUAUUUCAAGCAUGUAUUUGCUUGAAUGUUAUAUCUCGGUGUGCUAGUUGCCGUGGCAGAGACUGAGGUGUCUUAC
rnacentral:rRNA from 2 species